rnacentral:tRNA from 1 species
GGCAGUGUAGCAUAAUGGGUUAAGGAGUUGGUCUUGUAACCUGAAGCUCACAGGUUCAAUUCCCGCUAGGACACUGCCG